UGGAAGCGUUUGGAACGGAUUAGGAAGAGUAGUGAACAGCAGGCAAACUCUCACCUGGUUCUGCUCAAACGGGCAGAGCCUGCUUUUGAGUGAGGAGCUUUGCAGAAAUGUGAAAAUUCAGAGGAGAAAGAAGGAAACUGAGGCAGCUCUCAUUUCUUCAAGGCAKUCUCUUGAGGUGUGAAGCCCAGAACCGAGGGAGAGAUGGUGCCGACUGAAAGGAAAUCUGCUUUUUCUAAUGAAAAAUAAGGUAUAGGCUCUGCUGAAUGAUGCAAACUGAUUUUCAGGGAGAUAUGAUAGCAAAGUAUGGCAACGAGCUGCAGGACAGAAGUAGGCUGCAGGCUGAAGGUGCCAGCCCAGCAAGUACAGCUUCCUGUGCCAGCCACGGUUGCACUCCUUCAAACAUUCCCAGAAGAAAUGGGCUGUUUGUUCUCUUCAAUUCUGCAGAUCUUGAGAGACUAAAAUGAUUAAGAAGCCUGAGGAGCUGCUGCUGCUGCUACCRCUAACUGAACAGCAACGAAGCAGCCUUUCAUUUUGUGGUUUAAAAAGCAGCAACUAUGUGGAAUUGCUUACUUAAAAGUUCCUUUUCAUUUUCAGCCUCAGUUAAUUAAAUAUGUAGUUGCCUAAUGUGACCGAAGUAUUGCUUGGGGGGAUGAUAGAAUAU